UUUGAAUCAUUGAAUGUUGAAGUGAUAAAUCACUUAACGAGACGGAAACUAGGCAAGGACUUCACCUUUGUGUCCCUAUCCUAAUGGUUUACUAAGUUUAUUGUAAACUAUGUAGUGAACAAUAACCACAUGCUCUCCAAAAUUGUUUGAUGUGUAUAACACAAUUGAAAGAGGUUUCAAGAGAGAUAGUGGGAGUUUAAGGACCAUGUCUAAUGUAGUCAAAGGUGAAAGUCAGAUAAAGAAGAUAAAUAACUCCAAGGGAACAAACUUUCUUUAUGAAAGGAUGGACAUUGGAAGGGGUAUUUGCAAGAAAUGUCUUGCAAGUGUCAAGAACACACCUUUCGAAGGUGUUGUAAAAUGUUCUUGAAAAGUUCAAAACAGUUGGUUCUUCUACUUGAAUGCAUGAUUCCGUAUUAGUAACAAAGCUUUUACAAUCGUUGUAAAAAGUGACUAAUAAGAAGUAGAAGAUAUAUGAGAGAAGAGAAGGUGCUUCACAUUCGGAAACGUGAAUCAAAUGUAGAUCUCUGCGAAAGCAGAUGGUACUUACUUCCUCAUAUGAACUA
rnacentral:lncRNA from 1 species